UCGACAGGACUGCAGUGAUCCACGCUGUCUUGGUGAUGUGGGGCACAGAACAACAGAGCUGGAAUAAAUAUGGAGUGAUGAUAAAUAUGAGACCAUUACACCGGGCAAGCAUUGCCCUACGGAUGACGGGGGCAGUGAGCAAAGCCCCCAGAUCCAUCAGAAUGGCUUUACGGCGUAUUCAUAUGCAGAAUAAUUCUUCAGACAGUUUGUCACAAUUCUUCAAAUCAAUAUGAGUAUGAUCUGCAUUACUCCACUCAGCAAGGCAACCGUCUUGUGCAGUUCAAAUCCUGAACAGAAAUGGGAAAAACAAAUAAACGAAGGUCUUACGGGUUCGGAACGACAUGAGGGCAUGAAAUGAUCAUUGGCCUGAGGAACUAGCCUGUUACUGAAGUAAACAAACAGCUCACAAAAUCCUCCAUAAUGCUCGACUUUUGGGCUUUAAAGGGCUCCAAAGUUUCAAAGCCAAGGUGACCUUUGCUGGAGUCUUGACAUGGCGUCGUUACCUGAAUUUAUCGGCUGUCAUUAAUGGAUUGGGAGAGCUUACAGAACAUAUUUAUGCAUUCACAUAAGCCUAAUUUAUCACUGUGCCUUCCUUUUCUCUGUCUCUCAUUCCCCCUCUCGGGACGUGGAUCACCUCUUUCUAUAAACACUCGUUCUAUAGCAAUUAUCCAUCAUGUCAGAGGAUGAACUUCAAACACAAGCUGCACCACACACACACACACUGGGUGAUUUGCUGAUGCAGUCUUUGUGCCAGGUAAAGGUAAAGCCAAGGUAAUUGAAUUUGUUUGCAAUGACCUAGUGCAAUGCAAAAAACAUGGUAUGGCAUAAGUAAUGACUGUAGAUCAAAGAAAGCAUAUCAUUCAUGGAGCAUGCAUUUUUAGGCUGGCGUAGUGUAAUGCUAAUGUUUUUAGUGUUCAUUUUUUUCAGGUAAUUUAUAAGAUUUGACACCUACUUGCCAUUUAAAACAGCUCAAAGAAUUUAUUAGUGUCAUUGCAAAUGUUAAGUGUGAAUACAUUUCCUUAAUUAUCAGUCUGCAUUUAACUGACAUUUGCUUGUGAAA